rnacentral:tRNA from 1 species
GGGGGAUUAGCUCAGCUGGUAGAGCGUCUGCCUUGCAAGCAGGAUGUCAGCGGUUCGACUCCGCUAUCCUCCA